rnacentral:rRNA from 1 species
GAUGAACGCUGGCGGCGUGCCUAAUACAUGCAAGUCGAGCGAACAGACGAGGAGCUUGCUCCUCUGACUUUAGCGGCGGACGGGUGAGUAACACGUGGAUAACCUACCUAUAAGACUGGGAUAACUUCGGGAAACCGGAGCUAAUACCGGAUAAUAUAUUGAACCGCAUGGUUCCAUCGUGAAAUACGGUUUUGCUGUCACUUAUAGAUGGAUCCGCGCCGCAUUAGCUAGUUGGUAAGGUAACGGCUUACCAAGGCAACGAUGCGUAGCCGACCUGAGAGGGUGGUCGGCCAGACUGGAACUGAGACACGGUCCAGACUCCUAGGGGGGGCAGCGGUAGGGAAUCUUACGCGAUGGGCGAAAGCCUGACGGAGCAACGCCGCGGGAGUGAUGAAGGUCUUCGGAUCGUAAAACUCUGUUAUUAGGGAAGAACAAAUGUGUAAGUAACUAUGCACGUCUUGACGGUACCUAAUCAGAAAGCCACGGCUAACUACGUG